rnacentral:rRNA from 1 species
GAUGAACGCUGGCGGCGUGCCUAAUACAUGCAAGUCGAGCGAACGGACGAGAAGCUUGCUUCUCUGAUGUUAGCGGCGGACGGGUGAGUAACACGUGGAUAACCUACCUAUAAGACUGGGAUAACUUCGGGAAACCGUAGCUAAUACCGGAUAAUAUUUUGAACCGCAUGGUUCAAAAGUGAAAGACGGUCUUGCUGUCACUUAUAGAUGGAUCCGCGCUGCAUUAGCUAGUUGGUAAGGUAACGGCUCACCAAGGCAACGAUGCAUAGCCGACCUGAGAGGGUGAUAGGCCACACUGGAACUGAGACACGGUCCAGACUCCUACGGGAGGCAGCAGUAGGGAAUCUUCCGCAAUGGGCGAAAGCCUGACGGAGCAACGCCGAGUGAGUGAUGAAGGUCUUCGGAUCGUAAAACUCUGUUAUUAGGGAAGAACAUAUGUGUAAGUAACUGUGCACAUCUUGACGGUACCUAAUCAGAAAGCCACGGCUAACUACGUG